AAAAUACUGUUUUUGUUAUGGUUAAAAUGGUAUGUAGGAAUUUCGGACGCGGGUUCAACUCCCGCCAGCUCCACCA
rnacentral:tmRNA from 1 species